UAGUUCAGUCUGUUGAGCAUGGUGCUGAUAACUCCAAAGUCGUGGGUUCAAUUCCCAC
rnacentral:tRNA from 1 species